UCUAGCAAUCAUACCAGCACUAAUGCACUGGAUCCUAUCACAUCUCCGCAGCUAAGCGUGCUUGGACGAGAGUAGUACCAGGAUGAGUGACCUCCCAAGAAAGUCCUCAUGUUGCACCCU
rnacentral:rRNA from 2 species